rnacentral:lncRNA from 1 species
UUAUGACAUGUUUUGUCCUAUAUCAUCUUCUAAUUAACAUAUGCAUCAGUGUAUGUACUCAAAACUCCAAAGAUUGUAUUUCCUUCAAUGCUUUGUUUUUAUUUCUGUAAUGCUUCAGGGAAAUGUAAAGACAAGGUCCUGGACAGUAACAGGAUUAUUGUCUUUCUGUCUGAGACAGAGUCAUCAUAGAGAUCUAGUAGAUUAUUUAGAUUAGGGUUGGGGUCAAUUCCUUUACAAAUCAGGAAGUAAACUGAAAGUCCAAUUCCAAUUUUCCUCAAUGCCUCUCUAUGAGAAAAUAUCAGUUUACUUCCUGAAUUGACAGUAUUGACAUUGAAUUGACCCCAACACUGAUUUAGAGAUAAGAGAGAGACUGUAGUCCUCUUGGGGGAGUAGAGAAGGGGAGGGGAGGCAGGGAGCAGUGUUCCUCUUGGGGGAGUACAGGUGAGGGGAGACAGAGGACAGCCCAGUCUGGUGUAUCAGAGAUGAGGGGAGACAGAGGACAGCCCAGUCUGAUGUAUCAGAGAUGAGGGGAGACAGAGGACAGCCCAGUCUGAUGUAUCAGAGAUGAGGGGAGACAGAGGACAGCCCAGUCUGGUGUAUCAGAGAUGAGGGGAGACAGAGAACAGCCCAGUCUGAUGUAUCAGAGAUGAGGGUAGACAGAGGACAGCCCAGUCUGAUGUAUCAGAGAUGAGGGGAGACAGAGGACAGCCCAGUCUGAUUACUGGAGGUUCUCUUGCUACAGAGAUGGUCUAUAGAAGCCUUUUAGUAGCUGGCAUUCCUAACCUCAACUGAGAGGAUCUCUGUCCCUCUGAUGGCCCUGUUGGUGUCCACUCUGUCUCUCUGUGUGUGUCCUGUUCUUCGCUGUCUGGGACUAAGGGGGUGUUGUGUAAAUUGAGGGGGGUGGGGUUAGUAGUCUUUUGGCAGCAUGACCCUGCGCCCACCCAUGAAAUAACACAAGGUGAUCUUCCUUCUGAAAGGAAUGUUGUCCAGGGCCUCCACUGCCACCCUCUUGUUGCCCCUGCCGUUGCUCUCCUCCUGGUCGUACAUGGGGCACAUGUAGGCCGUUUGCCUCAGGGCAUAAAUGUCCACCUCGUCCUCGUCGUCCCACAGCUGGAAGGGAACGGCCGACUUGACCAGCUCAUAGAUUUCACCUGGAUUAACCUGGUCAGUCUGUCAUGAAAAGAGCACGACAUGUUCUUAAUGUUUUGUCACUCAGUGUAGACAACCAUGUUCUUACUGUCGGAGAUCCCUGUGCUGUUACCAGCAAUAAAUAAAAUACAAUGAGAAGUAUUUGUACUUUUGAUGAUGGUAUUUUGAAAUUGUAUCUCAAGAUGACUUGGUAAUGUAUAUAAUGUGCAGUGGUGUAAAGUGCCUAACCUGUCAAGGUAUAGGGGGCAGUAUUUUCGAUUUCGGAUGAAAAGCGUAAACUGCCUAAUACUCGGGCCCAGAGUCAAAUAUUUGCAUAUUAUUAGUAGAUUUGGAUAGAAAACACUCUGAAGUUUCUAAAACUGUUUGAAUGAUGUCUGUGAAUAUAACAGAACUCAUAUGGUAGGCGAAAACCUGAGAAAAAUCCAACCAGGAAGUGGGAAAUCAGAUGCUUGUAGUCUUUUCAAGUCAUUGCCUAUCUAACACACAGUGACUAAGGCUUCCACUAGAUGUCAACAGUCUUUAGAACCUUGUUUCAGACUUUUGCAGUGAACAGAGAGCGAACAAGAAGGCCGGGAAGAUGGUGACUCAGAAAAUGACAUGAGUUUAGUGGCGCGCAUUCACAUGAUGAGGUAGCUGUGUUCCAUAACGUUUUUCAUGACAUUGGAAUCGUCCGGUUGGAAUAUUAUCGAAGUUUUACAUUAAAAAGGCCAUUUGACAUGUUUCUACGAACGUAAAUAUAACUUUUUUUUGACUUUUCGUCGUGAAAUUUUCGGCGCACUUCCUACAUUUGGAGUAGCUUACUGAACGCGCAAACAACGAGGUAUUUGGACAUAAAUUAUGGACUUUAUCGAACAAACCAACAUUUAUUGUGGACCUGGGAUUCCUGGAAGUGCCUUUUAAUGAAGAUAUUUAUAAUGCUAUUUAUGAUUUUAGAUGACUCCAAAAUGGCGGGUAUCUGUAUUGCCUGGUGUAUGUUUCUGAGCGCCGUACUCAGAUUAUUGCAAAGUGUGCUUUCCCCGUGAAGCUUUUUUGAAAUCUGUCACAGCGGUUGCGUUAAGGAGAUGUUUAUCUAUAAUUCUUUGAAUAACAGUUUAAUAUUUUAUCAACGUUUAUGAUGAGUAUUUUUGUAAAUUGUUGUGCUGAUUCACCGGCAGUUUGAGGCAAAAUAUUUUCUGAACAUCACGCGCCAAUGUAAA